CCACGUCGAAGGGUGUCUUAACUAUGGUUAGGUUGGGAGAGGGGGUUGAGAGAGUUUGGUUUAGUGGGAGUGGAGGACUGGAUUCCACCUCCGAAGUGGUCCGUUGUUGCUUUGUGAUUGUAUCUGAGAUGCAGACCCAAUGGAUCGCCGAGCUUGCACACGCGGCCACGAACAAGCGCCCGCGGAAGAGGCAGAGACUUGGUUGGGAUGUACCGCUUCCGAUCCCCCCUCCCCAGGUUUUUCAGUCAUUCUACUGUUGGAAGGAAGUUAUGCUCAUGGCCAAUACUACUGCUCAGUUCUAGCAAUCCUUCUACAAUACUGGAGUUCCUCGAUAUGCAUCUCCACCCCGGAGGAGAGACAACAAAGAUGGCCAUUAUAUUUUUAGUGUUGGCGAGAAUCUUACAGUGAGAUCUAAUUUUAUGGAACUUUGCAUUUAUGCUUGUGACAACUUUCUCCAUGUUUAAAGUGGCUGCCAUUACUUUUACUUUAGAUAUAAUGAGGGAUUUAUCUUA